rnacentral:lncRNA from 1 species
CUGCCUUACGCUGGCCAGCAAUAUGGACCAUCGGUGGUGGGCAGGUUUCGUUUCUUGGCUGGAUGGAUGCUGGUGAUAGACCCUAUUCUAGGGGAGAGUAACUACCUCUGCUUGCUGCCAGGUUUUCCUGAAGCCGGGGGUCAUCUCCAGGCUGGAGAAGCAGCGCAACAAGCUGAUAUCCCAGAAAAUGAUCCUCCUUCAGGCGGCUUGCAAGGGCUUCCUCAGCCGGCAGAAAUUCAAGAGGUUGAAGGUACCUUGGUCAUGAAUACCCUGUGUACACCACAGCAUGGGGUUUGGCCACUGCAGAGGGUUCAGAGCUGCUGUGACAUGGCCAAGUGCCCCUCAUGGGACUGGGUACAGCCCCUCUGGGCUGAGCGCGCUGCUCCUUUGAACAGUAGUGCAGAGCCCCAUGCACCACCGGGAGUGGCCUGCUGGUGGCUGCGGCGUGUCGUGCUGCCUGUCCCCUCCUAAGCUGAGCUGCUCCGUCUGCUUGCUGCGGUCCAGCACAUCCCUUCCCCACCCGGUGCUGGCUGAGCGGCCCAGCCCGGCCCUUCCUGGCAGCAGACCCAGGUCGUGGCUGGACGGGUGCCACUGCAGGCCAUGUCUCCUUGCAGAUUCAGCACCUCGCCAUUCGGUGCAUCCAGAAGAACCUGGUGGUCUUCCAGGCUGUGAGGCACUGGCCCUGGUGGCAGCUGAUGAGCCGUGUGCGGCCCUUACUCAGCAUCAAUGUUGCAGAAGAUCAGCUCCGUGCCAAAGAAGAGCUGGCAGCACUAAGAAGAAAGCUGGAAAAAUCAGAGCAGUCAUGCAACGAGCUCAGGCAGAACUCAGAAAAGCUGGAAAGUAAGGUAAAGCCUGAGAAAUGUCUCUGUGCACACUCGUGGAUCCUCACGUGAGUCCCAUUAGAAAUUGAGCUGCAUCAUGGUAAUUAUGGACAGCAAUACAAGGAGUCGAAUGGGAAUGUCGCCUUGUCACAUGCUGGGUGCAAGAAGGACUGGGCUAAGGCCGUUUGCACCCAUGUCACUGCCUUGCAAUCUGUAUAGAGCAAAUGCUGCAGUUUGGGUUUUCUAGCACCGGGUUUCUACCAGUGCCUCCCCAGCCUUGACUGGUGUCAGACCAGCGAGGCUGGGGAGCUGUUGCUGUGCUAGUAUUUGCACAUGCCUCCACACUCCUUGAAGAGCUGGGUUUUUUUGUUUUUAAUUGCCCAAGAAGGUUACCUAGUGAUUAAUUUUAACAGGUCACAGGCAUGAAAUGUUCCGCUUUGUCUCUGUGUGGGAAGCCAGCAGCUCUUUACUGCUAUCUGCCUGGAGAUCUGAGCUGAGAGGGCUGUUUCUCGGGGAGCAAUCAUUGUUUGCUGCUUGCUGCUGUUUAAGUUGCUCAGCAGUUGUUUCUUUUUAAGGCCUUUUAUGUCAAGGUCCUGCAGCCAGUGCCUGAUGAGAGAUCUCGCGCCUGCUGUACUGUGUGAUUGUGCUCGGAGGAAGCAGUGAUUAGCAAAGGGGUGGGAAAGAGGGAGCUGCAGGAGUCUGAGUUGCCGGCUAAAUCAGUGCAGCUAGAGGUUGAUUCUGCAGGACCCAGGUGGGCUGCGAGGCCUGACCCCCCGGGGCCAGCAUCCCUGCACGGCACCCGAUGGGGCCCUGGCUUGCCAGAGCAGAGGACCACGGCAAGCGAGUUGGCGUCUCCAGAGAGAACCUCAUCUCUCGUCUCCACAAAUCUCCUCUGGCUUUGACACUCCAUGCAUCUGCCCUUGUUCCCCGGCCCUGGUCCCCUCGGCUGUCCCCGGUCCCGGCCCCGUGCUCCUGGCCGCGUCCCCGGGCNNNNNNNNNNNNNNNNNNNNNNNNNNNNNNNNN